rnacentral:lncRNA from 1 species
GGGCCAGGUCUCUUGAAAGAAUAAAGAUUUAAACUAUCCCCCACUGACCCUGCUGUGAGGACAAGUGCACCUCACAGCAAAGAAUAACAUAACAUAUUUUGGGAAUGUAGCCUGGCUAUAGCCACCACAAACCAUCUGGCCUCGAUAAGGCCUGACUCAACAGUCCUGAGAAAAACGAGAAUUAGGGUCAGCUUGCCCCAGAAGGAGGGUGGCCUAGAGUUGAACUGAGCCCAAGUUACAAACCAAUGAAAUUGCUUUGUGUGACUGUUGCCAACUACCUAUGUAAUUUUCCCUAUAAAUCCCUUCCCCUAAUUGGGCUCGGGGUCGACUCCUCUGUCUCUUGUGUGAGAUACGUGUCGUCCCCAGAGCUCUGGUUCCUCAAAUACACCUCUUGUUUGUUACAUCAAGACUGGUUUCUCGUGAGUUCUUGGGGGUUGCGUUGU